CGUAAUUCUGCGGCCGUGCGCUUGCUGCGUCUGCGCAGUUGCCUAGACGUGCCUGCGCACCGACCCGAAAACAACAGUCAGGGCCUGGAGCUGAGGAUGAUGUCUUAAAUGCGGCUUGCAGAAAUAAUGGCCGCAGAAACUGAGCCUGCAUUUUUGACGACUCCUAACCAGAAGACAUCUCCAACGCCCAUAGUUGAAGGCGGAGCCACUGUAGAAGAGAAUUGUGGCCACUGGCUGGGUUUUUGGUAUGGCUGGUGGGUGUGUUGGUGGGCUGGAUUCUUCAUUAUUUCUGUUCCUAUCAGUUUCAUCUUCAGUUUUCUGGGUCGAAAACUGUGCUGUUUAAUCUUAAAAGUGUCCAGAAAUGUAUGCCCGUGCCCAGUAAAAUUGAAGUUCAGUUCUUCAAUAAUUAAGGAUUUAGAGAAACAGAAAAACAAAGAAGAAGCAAACAAUGCAGAAGGCCUUUUAGGAGAGAUCAAAAAAUGGAAGAACCUGAUGCCAGGGAUUAUCCUAGGAGCAGUUAUUGGAAUCUUCCAGAUAACAAAUUGCAUGAUGUCUCAAUAUCAAGUUGGAGGAGCCAUUUUUGGAGUAAUAUUUGGAUUUCUGUUAAUGAUUAUUAAUGCUUAUAUUUUAAAAUUGUGAUCUGACACCAAGUUAGAAUCAAACAUUCAACAAAGAAGAACAUUGUGGAUAUUCAAUACUGAUACUUUAAGUCUUUAAAGGAGUGGGAAUGAAUUAUUUCUGAAUGUAAACAACUAUAACCUUUAUAAUCUACAAAAGGUUUACACUGUUAUACUCUACUUGCCAGCUGCAACAUACGAGGUUUUUGGUAAAAUUAAGGAACAUUUCUUUUGCUGCUUGCAGAUUUUCAAAACUUUUGAGGUUUUCACCAUAGUGCAUCAUUUUUAUAUCGAGACCAAAUAAUUUGUUUUGAUUUACUGAGUGUGACUAACUGUUUCUGAUCUUGUAGAGAAAAAUGACCAUCACAGUUAUAUCAUAUGUAAUCACAUUGAGGCAUUUUUUUUUUAAGAAUUUUAUAGUUUCUGAUGUAAUAAAAAGCACUACUGUGUUUUCAAAGGGUAUGCGCUCCAAUAAACAUACCUGGAUCUUUCUGCAAACCUUA